rnacentral:rRNA from 1 species
CAGUAGCCGCGGUAAUACGUAGGUGGCAAGCGUUGUCCGGAAUUAUUGGGCGUAAAGCGCGCGCAGGCGGAUCAGUUAGUCUGUCUUAAAAGUUCGGGGCUUAACCCCGUGAGGGGAUGGAAACUGCUGAUCUAGAGUAUCGGAGAGGAAAGUGGAAUUCCUAGUGUAGCGGUGAAAUGCGUAGAUAUUAGGAAGAACACCAGUGGCGAAGGCGACUUUCUGGACGAAAACUGACGCUGAGGUGCGAAAGCCAGGGGAGCGAACGGGAUUAGAUACCCCCGUAGUCCCUGUCUCUUAUACA